rnacentral:snRNA from 1 species
GUUCAUUCCUGAUCAUCUACUAAAAUUUCAACAACACAGAGAAGAUUAGCAUGGCCCCUGCGCAAGGAUGGCACGCAAAUUCUUGAAGCCUUCCAAAGUUUU